UUCCUGGUGGUCCAGUGGUUAGGAUUCUGCAUUCUCAUUGCCAAGGGCCUGGGUUCAAUCCCUAGUCAGGGAA